UCGGGAAUUUUGCGCAAUGGACGAAAGUCUGACGCAGCGACACCGCGUGAAGGAUGAAGGCCCUCGGGUUGUAAACUUACACAAAAAAGCACCGGCUAACUACGUGCCAGCAGCAGCGGUCAUACGUAGGGUGCAAGCGUUAUCCGGAUUUAUUGGGCGUAAAGAGUUCUGUAGGCGGUCGUAUAAGUCAAAGGUCAAAGACCCCGGCUCAACCGGGGGAAGGCUUUUGAUACUGUAUGACUGGAGGUAUUUAGGGGGUAGCGGAACGUAUGGUGGAGCGGUGAAAUGCGUUGAUAUCAUACGGAACACCAAGGGGGAAGCCAGCUACCUGGGAAUUACCUGACGCUGAGAGACGAAAGCGUGGGGAGCGAAACGG
rnacentral:rRNA from 1 species